ACCUUUCGUCUCGCAAUCCGUGCGGCCUUAGGCGAUUCGCUCGUCCAAACUCGCCCAAGUCAGCCUUUACUCGAAUGAGGAUUCCUUAAGAACUCCUCCAAGGCACCAACUCGUACAGCGGAAGCAAACUUAUGCCAAAAGAAGCUUAUAAAGAACAACAGAAAGGGACGCACACAAAGUGUUUGAGUAAAUGCUCUCUAUUCUCUUAUUCACAAAGAAUAAUGAAACAAUGAAUGGAGUGAGUACAAAUGAGGGGGAGGCUCUCUAUUUAUACUUGAGCUCCCCCAAAACCGACGGUCAAGAUACA
rnacentral:lncRNA from 1 species